GUCGAACGAAGGCCCUAGCUUGCUAGGUGUCCUUAGUGGCGCACGGGUGAGUAACACGUGGGAACAUACCUUAUAGUACGGAAUAACUGCGGGAAACUGUAGCUAAUACCGUAUAUUCCAGUAAUGGGAAAGAUUUAUCGCUAUAAGAUUGGCCCGCGCAAGAUUAGCUUGUUGGUGAGGUAAAAGCUCACCAAGGCUUCGAUCUUUAGCUGGUUUGAGAGGAUGAUCAGCCACACUGGGACUGAGACACGGCCCAGACUCCUACGGGAGGCAGCAGUAGGGAAUAUUGGACAAUGGGGGCAACCCUGAUCCAGCAAUGCAGCGUGAGUGACGAAGGCCUUAGGGUUGUAAAACUCUUUCAUCGGAGAGGAUGAUGACAGUAGCCGAAGAAGAAGGACCGGCUAAUUCCGUGCCAGCAGCCGCGGUAAUACGGAAGGUCCUAGCGUUGUUCGGAAUUACUGGGCGUAAAGCGCAUGUAGGCGGAACAGAAGGUUAGAAGUGAAAUCCCUGGGCUCAACCUAGGAAUUGCUUUUAAAACUUCUGUUCUGGAAUUCAGGAGAGGAAAAUGGAAUUUCCAGUGUAGAGGUGAAAUUCGUAGAUAUUGGAAGGAACACCAGUGGCGAAGGCGAUUUUCUGGACUGAUAUUGACGCUGAGAUGCGAAGGCAUGGGUAGCAAACGGGAUUAGAUACCCCGGUAGUCCAUGCAGUAAACGAUGGGUGCUAGUCGUCGGACUUUUGUUCGGUGUCGUAGCUAACGCGUUAAGCACCCCGCC
rnacentral:rRNA from 1 species